rnacentral:rRNA from 1 species
UACGUAGGGUGCAAGCGUUACUCGGAAUUAUUGGGCGUAAAGGGCGCGUAGGCGGCCAUGCGUGUCUUUCGUGAAAUCCCUCGGCUUAACUGAGGACGUGCGGAAGAAACUGCAGGGCUAGAGUCCUGGAGAGGAAGGUGGAAUGCUUGGUGUAGAGGUGAAAUUCGUAGAUAUCAAGCGGAACACCGGUGGCGAAGGCGGCCUUCUGGACAGUGACUGACGCUGAGACGCGAAAGCGUGGGGAGCAAACAGG